ACAUCAGCAGGUCUCCUCGGGGACUCGAGGCAAAGCGGGGGAGCAGAGCAGGCAGGGAAAUGUGGGAAAGGAGGCCAAGAGCUGCUCCAGGCAGAGCAGUGGUGAGUGCCUGGAGCGAUACAUUUGUGGGCUGGACAGCUUUCUUGGGAGAGCCAGAGUGCUGGCACUGCAGGGCCAGAGGUACCUUCAGUCCUCCUACACACUCCCUGCCCCAUUUUUGGGAUUUAAAUCAGCCCCACCGUUUUGUGUUUAGCCUGGCAGCCCCAUCCUGGGUCACCCCCCUUCCUUCCCACUCCCUGGGGCCCAACAGUGAAAGGUUCUCUCUCCUCCACACGCCACUGCAGAAAUAAUCUGUGGUAAAUAAUUAAUCACCUAAUCUUGCUCUUUUUGUUUACAGGGCCGUUAUGAUUUUACGAAGUACGCAGAGGAACAUUACUGGGGUGAGGUAAGACCUUGCACAGCAGCAGAUCCAGCUGGAGCUGGGUGUGCCAGCACGUGCCCUGCCCUCCCUGCGAGGCUGUGAGCUCUGCCUCUUGAUAGACCCUUCCCACCACACACAAUCUGUCUGUCUUCAAGGCCUCCACACAUGCCACAAGCAUUUUUUCCUAAUCACAUUUAUCAUGCAACAGCACAACCCUGCAUCCCCCCAGCACUGGCUCAGAUGCUUCACUGAUGCCUGGCCCGGGCGGGUUGGUGACACUGGCUGAGACACUGUUCCUCUUCCCAGACUGGCUGGGGAACUCAAAUUGUGGAAAUUACUCACCAAAGAAAGUUUGGCAUUAAAGUUUGAAAAACCAGGCAAGUAAACCCUGCAGUCCUGAGGUCCUGAAGCCCAGCAGGACCCAGUCCAAUGUGACAAGGAAGAUGUUCUGCCCUUGCUGAGCUUUGGAAGGACUGUAAAUAUCAGGCUCCACAUGAAUCCUGGAUCUCUGUGAAUAGAUGGAAUUGAAAUUGAAGGAUACCAUCCAAAUAGUAGUGCCUUGUCUCUUCAACUCAGUAUCCUGCCUCUGGACACCUCCUGAGACAUGCCAAAGUCUGAGUAUGCUGAGCAGUACUUCUGCCCAAGAGUUACCUCCCAAGCCACAGCAGAGCUGGUAGUCCUGGCAAGGUGAAAGGAAGGCGCAGACAUAGUGAUGCUGUUCUACAAACAGGUGAGCACAGGGCACAUAUACAAAACCACAGUAAAUUUUGCUGAGACUUCACCCCUGAGCUAGUAGCUUCUGCCUCUGGUGGGAAUGUCUGCAUUUUCUUCCACUGAGUGCCUUUUGACAUAUUAAAGGCAUGGUAAGAAUUGAGAUCCCGGGGGAUCCACUGGUCUUAUUUCUGUGGAUGCUUGUACCCUGGGUCUAUUUGAAGAAGGAUGAUUCAUUCAACUGCUUGAGCUUAUGGGUCUGUGUGUCAUUUCCCAUUGUAAGAAGAAGGGUCUUGUUUGCUAUCAUGGACUGGUUGGAGUUAAUUUGGGGAUAGAUCUAGCAUGGAAAAAAAUGCUUUACACAGCAAGACAGUGGCUGAUCCUGUUUCUUCCAUGUUGGAUGCUGGUGUUUAGAGUCUCCAAGGCAGGAAGUUUUAUCAAGCAACAUCAAACAGAUGCCCCUUGUCAUGUUCCAGCUGCAUUGACUGGCAACCUGCUCAGUCAAACACUCAAGGAGGACACAGGCUUUCAUUCUGCAUGGACAGCAGUAUAUUAAAGGAUCCACCUGGAAACAGCAAAGGAUUUUUAAAAGAAAUAUCUGUACCAGUCUUCAUUGUAAAUGCACCAGAAGCACCUGUAGUCAUGGCAUUCACAAGAACCAUUUCCAGGAAGGGGCCUGAAUUACUGAUUUUGCAGGAAAAGCAAAGAAAGUUUCACUGGAUUUUCACACCUGCUGGUCAUGGUAUGUAUCCACAUUGACAACAUGUGUCUGGUGGGGUGCACUGAGAACUAUGGCACUGCAGGAUACAGCUAAGCACUCUGGUUUGGGAUGGCUGAAGGGAGAAGGGAUCAGUAUCAAAAUCCCAGGGUUUUCUGUUGUUGAUCUAAAGAAAAGGCCCCUCUUACUAACCAUGAGCUUCAGAUAUUUCUGGGCCUUCACAGAUGCAAAGAUGUGUGUACUUCCCAGAGGUAACAUCUUCACAGGGAUGUUGCAGGAACUGAAGAGAUUAGGAGAGAUUUGGAUAGUGUGGCGAUAUCAGACAUCAGUGGGGGUCAGCUCAGGUGAUUGCUGCAGGGCUCUGCCCUGCCUGGACCCCAAAGCAGGGCAGCAAACCAGCCCUGUUUGCUGUCUGUGCUGGUCCCCAGUGCUGGCACAAGCACAUCCGUGCUGCUUUGCCUGCAGGGCAUGCAUUAGGGGGUGGUCCUGGAGGCUUGGACUCUCCAGCUCCAAGGCAUGGCCAGAGGACUUGCCAUGGUGUGCUGCACAGGCAGGACAACAGCUGUUGACAGACUGAGGGAAGGCAGUCUGGAAUUCCCUCCAGAAACCUCUGUGCCUCACCAGCACUGAGUCUGGAGCUGUGCUGGAAGCUGCUGGGGACAGCUUUCUUUGGACUUCUACUCACCCAGAAGGACUGGAGUUUUGUGUCCAGUGGAGAGUAACUGACACAGAGCUAAAGGGAACAUCUCCAUCCACAGUGUGGGAAGGUGAGAGGUCGUCCCACAGGCAGAAUGUAUCCAAAAUGAUGCUGCUUCAAUACUUUGAGAGCUGGGACUACUUUGAGAGAGGCACAGGUGGAACUGGGGCACAGGACCCUGGGAAGUGACACUCUGCAGCUGCCACUGCUGGAACCACACCCCAGCCCCCCACUACAGCUGGAACUGCACAUCAGACCCCCAACUACAGCAUGCUCUAAGGCUAUAGUUGAUCUAAGGCUGAUUGCUUCAAAUCACUGAGCUCAAAUAGUGAUAAGGUCCUUAAAAAAAAAAUCUUGAAUCCAAAUAAGCCUGUGCAGUCCAGGGUAGCACUUGGGUUUAGGCAUGUCCUUGGGCUGCUAGAGCCAGCAUGGGCCAUAGCCCUCUGUCCAGCACAGUGGUCACAGCUGGACACACUACUGACCCACAUGCCACAGCGCAUUUGCUGCAGUAUAAAUCAGCUGUCAUUUGUUCCUGCCUUAUCAAUGGGAAGGAAAACACUGCAGUGCAACAGCUCCAUGAAAGGUUAAGUUUUGGAGCCACAUAAUUGGUAGGAACAUGGGCUGCAGAGGGGAUUGCACGAUAAGCAGGCUCUCCCACUUCUCUGAAAUUUUGACAGUUACCAGAAGCUGGCAGCAGAGUUUCAACCCUACAUGGGAUGUAACAAAAAGAUGAACUGACUGAAGAAGAAGAAGAAGAAGAAAUAUGACUGUGAUGGACACUACAGAUCAUUUCCAGAAGCAGGAUCACAAGAACUGACUCUGAAUUCAGGGAUGUGCAUGCAAGCAGGGCCAAGACAGCUUUCAGCCACUCCUUCACUUCCCCCUGAAGAUCCCUGAGGAAAUGUUAUCCCACAGUUGGGGUCCAGCAUGGACAUAAUGUAGGUUUGAUAGGGCAGGCAGCCACCAGUGGUGUUAUCUCACUUCUGAUGGAGGCCCCUUCCAGCACGAGGCUCUCACUUGGCACACAGUGCUGAACUCAGGAUGUGAAAAGAGCAGAGUGUGUGGGAGCUGCUGAUUUUGUCUCUUUGGUGGGACUGUUUGUUUUUUUUUUUAAAUAAGAGGAUCAGAUGUUGCCCUUCCUUGAAAACACGACAGUCUAUGGGAGAGUUCAUUAGUUUAUGGCAAGUUGCAACACUGUGGAGGCUGGCUGAAAGCAAAUGUUAUUGCAGAGUUAUCACUAAGGGGAGAGGAAAGCCACGUCCUGAGGAAAUAAACUCGACAGAGCAAAUCACAGAGCAAUAUAAAGCUGUGGAGUACAGGCAGCGGAGCGGAACUCUUCCACAGAAUAACAGCCCCCAGUCACCUGUUUUUAAUGCCAAUGUUUGCUUUCUGCAUAUUCAGUGAAUACAGAGGAUACAUUUAUCCAGAACUCUGUCUCUAAUGGGAGUAGCAAGUAUCAUGAUUGCAGCUGGCUGAACUUAUUUACUACUAGUAGACAAAAAUGUCUUUGUGGCCAUCAUUAAAUAGUGAUAACACCAGUAAAA